rnacentral:lncRNA from 1 species
AGCAAACAACUUCUGCCUCUUGGUCUCUUCUGGCUAUUUAUUGCUACAGCAUAACAAACUGCCCCCAAACAACAACCAUUGUAUCGUCUACAGUUUUGUGAGUCAGAAAUUUGCGCAGGGCUCAGCUGGGUGAUCCUUCAGUGAUCCAUGGAGCGCCGACUAGAGUCACUCAGUGAUCUUCAGCUGCUGAUUGUGCUAUGCUGGAGGAUCGAGAUGGUUUCACUCAGGUUCCUGGUGCUUUCGUGGGGAUGGCUGGAACACUGAGCUCAGCUGGGUCCGUCUGCCUCUCCAUGGAAUCCCAGGGCUUCUCCAGGACUUGUGUCCCAGUAGCUGGCUCUCCUGUCAAAGCUUGUCCCGGGCUGAGAGCUGGAGCUCUGUGUUCCCACCAAGGAUCUACUGUCAGAAUCACUGGAGAGCAGCGUGGGCUUUACAGAAGGAAGGUUCUGGGGCAGCAGGGGCACGUGGCCUCCCUGGGACAGGCACACACCUGGAAACCCCACAAAUGGGAAGGACUCCAUGUGGGUGACAG